CGUAUACAAUCUGCCUUUAACAGGGGGAUAGCCCGGAGAAAUCCGGAUUAAUACCCCAUAACAAUAGAAUUGGCAUCAAUUUUAUUUGAAAGCUCCGGCGGUUAGAGAUGAGUAUGCGUCUGAUUAGCUAGUUGGUGAGGUAACGGCUCACCAAGGCGACGAUCAGUAGGGGAUCUGAGAGGACUACCCCCCACACGGAUACUGAGACACGGAUCCGACUCCUACGGGAGGCAGCAGUAAGGAAUAUUGGACAAUGCCCGCAAGGGUGAUCCAGCCAUGCCGCGUGCAGGAAGACGGCCCUAUGGGUUGUAAACUGCUUUUACACCGGAGAAAACCCCUUUUCGUGAAGAGGGCUGAUAGUAUGGUGAGAAUAAGCAUCGGCUAACUUCGUGCCAGCAGCCGCGGUAAGACGAAGGAUGCAAGCGUUAUCCGGAUUCAUUGGGUUUAAAGGGAGCGUAGGUGGCCUUAUAAGUCAGUGGUGAAAUCUCUGGGCUUAACCCAGAAAUUGCCAUUGAUACUGUAGGGCUUGAGUAUAGUUGCCGUUGGCGGAAUAUGACAUGUAGUGGUGAAAUACAUAGAGAUGUCAUAGAACACCGAUUGCGAAGGCAGCUGACGAAACUAUAACUGACACUGAGGCUCGAAAGUGCGGGGAUCAAACAGGAUUAGAUACCCUGGUAGUCCGCACUGUAAACGAUGA
rnacentral:rRNA from 1 species